rnacentral:rRNA from 1 species
AUUGAACGCUGGCGGCAUGCUUUACACAUGCAAGUCGGACGGCAGCACAGAGAAGCUUGCUUCUUGGGUGGCGAGUGGCGCACGGGUGAGUAAUAUAUCGGAACGUACCGAGUAAUGGGGGAUAACUAAUCGAAAGAUUAGCUAAUACCGCAUAUUCUCUGAGGAGGAAAGCAGGGGACCUUCGGGCCUUGCGUUAUUCGAGCGGCCGAUAUCCGAUUAGCUAGUUGGUGGGGUAAAGGCCUACCAAGGCGACGAUCAGUAGCGGGUCUGAGAGGAUGAUCGGCCACACUGGGACUGAGACACGGCCCAGACUCCUACGGGAGGCAGCAGUGGGGAAUUUUGGACAAUGGGCGCAAGCCUGAUCCAGCCAUGCCGCGUGUCUGAAGAAGGCCUUCGGGUUGUAAAGGACUUUUGUCAGGGAAGAAAAGGCUGUUGCUAAUACCGACAGCUGAUGACGGUACCUGAAGAAUAAGCACCGGCUAACUACGUG